rnacentral:rRNA from 1 species
UACGUAGGGGGCAAGCGUUGUCCGGAAUCAUUGGGCGUAAAGCGCGUGUAGGCGGUUCGAUAAGUCUGCUGUGAAAGUCCAGGGCUCAACCCUGGGAUGCCGGUGGAUACUGUCGGACUAGAGUACGGAAGAGGCGAGUGGAAUUCCUGGUGUAGCGGUGAAAUGCGCAGAUAUCAGGAGGAACACCAAUUGCGAAGGCAGCUCGCUGGGACGUUACUGACGCUGAGACGCGAAAGCGUGGGGAGCAAACAGG